AAAGUCGUAACAAGGUUUCCGUAGGUGAACCUGCGGAAGGAUCAUUACUGAAGUGAUUUGGGGAUGUUGCUGGCCUCUUCUUUUCAAGGGGGCAAAUGUGCACUCCCUGAACAAUUCACAAUUUCCAUCACACCCUUGUGCACAUCUUGUAGGCACCCACUCACGUCGGGGCGUCCUAUGUAUUCCUUCACCUCACACUUUAUUGAAUGGUGCUCUUGAACGCAUCUCAUGGAUUAUUUGUAAUAAAGUAAUCACAGAAACAACUUUCAACAAUGGAUCUCUUGGCUCUC
rnacentral:misc_RNA from 1 species